rnacentral:lncRNA from 1 species
GGGUCACUCACAGCCACACAAAGUUGUCUGGCCUCUAUAGGAAAAUCCACGUAAAGACUGGCGUAAAUCAGGGGCUCAAAGAUGCUAGUCUACGAAUAACUUCGACAGCUGACCUCUUCCUUCUUCUACAAGCACCUUGGACACUCCAAAGUGAUAGGAGAUCUAGAGGAGGAAGAGAGGAGGAGGAGAAGAGACUCUGAAAAUAAAAAAUCU